rnacentral:tRNA from 1 species
GUUCCAUUAGCUCAGUUGGGAGAGCACUCGACUUUUAAUCGAGUUGUCAUGGGUUCAAGCCCCAUAUGGAGCA